rnacentral:rRNA from 1 species
UACGAAGGGGGGCUAGCGUUGCUCGGAAUGACUGGGCGUAAAGGGCGCGUAGGCGGACAUCUUUGUCGGGCGUGAAAUUCCAGGGCUUAACCUUGGGGCUGCGUUCGAGACGGGGUGUCUUGAGUGGGGAAGAGGGUCGUGGAAUUCCCAGUGUAGAGGUGAAAUUCGUAGAUAUUGGGAAGAACACCGGUGGCGAAGGCGGCGACCUGGUCCUUUACUGACGCUGAGGCGUGAAAGCGUGGGGGAGCAAAACAGGGAUUAGAAAACCCCCAGUAGU